rnacentral:misc_RNA from 1 species
AUUAUUUUUUAGUCUGCGGUAAUUUAUAAAGGUCACGGAAAAGACGUUACACUUUUGAUGAAAGAUUUAAGUGGUUUCAACGCUGUUUUCAGAAUGUCAUCAAAACGCAAAAUUUAAAAAAAAUCGCCGAGAGACGAUGAAAUUAGUAAAUUCCUGGAUGAUAAUGAUGACGAUGAGACCUCUUUCGAUGAGUCUGUUGGUAGUGAUGACUUAUGUGUUCCACCAUAAGACUCACAUGAUAUCACUUUCACAUGUAUUGAUAGUUAUGCUUUGUUUGAACUACAAGACCCACUAAUGCAAGAAGACGCUACCCAUCCAAACCGAUAAUAGGAAACGUUGCAUUUCAUGCACAAAAAACAAAAAAGAUAGGCGCACUUACACCAAAUGUAGUGCGUGUAAUAGUUUUUUUUAUGUAAAAACUGUUUUAUAUCUUUUCACCUUUCUUGAUGCCCAUUUCUUCUCUCAGUAUUUAGCUCUCUGGUCCCGUUUUUUUUUUUAAUUUAUAUAAUUUUUUAUUGGCUUAAAAUACUAAGCUGACAUUUUUUUUAAAAUUACAUUCAAAAAAAUAGUCAAAAUAA